AGGUGGCGGGCUUGGCCUUGUUUUGCCGCCUAGUUUCCGGAACUUCAAAUCUUCUCCAUAAAAAUUCAUUUCUAGUUAGCAAAUUAAUCUAGCCAUCCCUAGUUGACUCCUAGUAAAUUACCCAAAAAUAAAAAUAAGCAAACGAACUUGCAUCAACUUGAGAUGGUUGCAUAGCCAAGAUGGAUGCAGCCAGUGGCGGACGCACGUAGGGACGAGUGGGGGCAGCUGCCCCCAGUGAACUUUUAUUUUUGUUGAACCGGUCUCCGUUUUGCCCCCACAAUCAAUAUCCAAGAUUCCAAAUACUUGUUCUCCUCCUUCCUCCGAUCUAAUUCCAUCUGCAUGCUGGCUUUUCUGGCAUCCCUUGCUUAAGUGACCCCCUGAUUUGGAUUUUGUAUCCACUGAUCUGCACCUCCAUCUACUUCUCAUACCUUGAUUCCGGAUCGAUCAGGCUCCGAAGUACAAAGGUUGCUGGGGUGGGAAAGAGAAGAGGAGGGAUUCAAGAUUGUGGUGGACUUCGGGGGGAGGAUUUGGGUUUGUUUCCGGAGAGGUGGAUUCGAAAAUUUUGAUCGAGUUUGGGGGAUAGUUUUCAGCAGGAAAAGAGAUUAGCUGCUGCUUUGACAACUAUGAUGUUCCUCAGGGACAGUUGUUUGAAUUUCAAGUCCAUCUGCAUAGCAGCAGAGUAUUCAUGGGGGCUGUUUUUUUAUAUCUAUUUGAUGAUGCUAGUGAUACAUCAGAUGAUAGAUCGAUGGUCUAUCAUGAUAAGGUAGUACAUGCUCCUGGUUCGUCAUGUCAAAAGCAUGGGAAUGGUCCUCUGGUUGGGGUGAAAAGAUUUAUUUCUCUUGUUGGCGGGUGAUAUCUACAAUAUAGCAGUAUAUGUUUAGGUGCUAUAUUCACAAUUCAUGUACUAAAUGAAAAUCUAUCAAUCUAUUUGAUAUAAAAUAUAGCGAUUGAAGUUU